rnacentral:sRNA from 1 species
UACAUAAAGAUUUUGAUGUCACUAAAU